CUGGCAAAUUGAAGUUAAAGCAAGUGGCAGAAUUAGAUUGGCCUGAGCAACAAAAAGCUGGAGAUGUAAGUGGCAAGCAGAGAGCUUGUUGUUGGAAACAAAAACAAAAGAGAGGUGCCAGUCCUGGAGGAGAGAGCAAGCAGAAUUAAGGAAAAGUAGGAGUACAAGGGGAGGGACUAGGCCUCUCGAAAGCCCAGAGAUUGUGGCAUGAUGAUGUUGAGUAUGUAUUGCUGGAAUGAAGAUGAGAGCAGUAAGGAGUAGAGAAUAUUAUUGCCGUGAACUGUCUUAAUAUAACAGAACUAAAAGCUUGACAGCAUUGAGUGUCGUUUACAAGGGAAGGUUGCUGCUGGAAUUGCUUCAGUUCUGCAUUGCAUGGAGUUCAACAUGAGUAAGAAGUGGAAGAGUUUAGUGCAAAUGAUUCUGAUUUGGAUGUGGCAGCCAUAACUGUGCUGAGCCCUAGAGACAAUUAUGGGGCAAAAGAUAAUGUAUGUUGCUGCAUAAUUUUAUGAUGAAGAUGGAUGAAAACUAAAGAAUUCAAAUUUUAUGAGAAGGGAAGCUGCUGAGGUACUAAUGUCUGUUCUAAACAAAGAAAGCAUAUUUGAAUUCAAGCUUAAUAUGCACUUGCAUUUGGCUGUGUGCUUAAGGACCUGUAUUAUGUCUAUUAUUUGGAUGCUUUUAUUUUUAUUUUUAUAAAAUUGAAGCAAAGAUCAA